GUGACGAAGCGACGCCGCGUGUGGGAAGAAGGCCUUCGGGUUGUAAACCACUGUCGGGAGUUAGGAAAUGUAAGGGUGUUAAUAGUAUCCUUACUUGACUAAGGCUCCGGAGGAAGCCACGGCUAACUCUGUGCCAGCAGCCGCGGUAAUACAGAGGCGGCAAGCGUUGUUCGGAAUUAUUGGGCGUAAAGAGCACGUAGGCGGCCUUGUAAGUCAGUUGUGAAAGCCUUCUGCUUAACGGAAGAACAGCAGCUGAUACUGCAAGGCUAGAGUGCGGAAGGGGAGGGUGGAACUUCUGGUGGAGCGGUGAAAUGCGUAGAUAUCAGAAGGAACACCGGCGGCGAAGGCGACUCUCUGGUCCGUAACUGACGCUGAGUGUGCGAAAGCUAGGGGAGCAAACGGGAUUAGAUACCCCGGUAGUCCUAGCCGUAAACGAU
rnacentral:rRNA from 1 species